GUACCGGUGCGCCGGCCAGCGGGAGCCGGCCCGGGACCGGCUCGACGAGUUCGCCGCCCGGACCGCCGGGUUCGGCCUGACCGGGGUGC
rnacentral:tRNA from 1 species